GGAACUUUGGCGGAGUGGUCAACGCGCAGGAUUGCUACUGCUGGUUUCCCCGAGUUCGAAUCUCGGAGGUGCCG